rnacentral:rRNA from 1 species
CUUACCUGGUUGAUCCUGCCAGUAGUCAUAUGCUUGUCUCAAAGAUUAAGCCAUGCAUGUAUAAGAUCACGCCCUCGGAUGGCGAAUCUGCAAAUGGCUCAUUAAAUCAGCUAUUGUUUCUUGGAUCUUACACUACUUUACUUGGAUAACUGCAGUAAUUCUGGAGCUAAUACAUGCCAAAGUGCUUCAGUCGCAAGAUUGGAGCGGGUUUAUUAGAUCAAAAUCAACCAGUCUACCCGUAAAAAGGUGGCUGUUGGGCUGAUGAUUCUGGAUAACCAACCUGACCGUAUGACCUUGUGUCGACGGCGUAUCCUUCAAGUGUCUGACCUAUCAACUGUCGAUGGUGAGUGAUUUGCUCACCAUGGUGAUCACGGGUAACGGGGAAUCAGUGUUCGAUUCCGGAGAGGGAGCCUUAGAAACGGCUACCACAUCUAAGGAAGGCAGCAGGCGCGCAAAUUACCCACUCUCAAUUCGAGGAGGUAGUGACGAAAAAUAACGAUGAUAGACUCAUUAUGAGGCCUAUCAAUUGGAAUGAGUACAAUUUAAAUCCUUUAACGAGGAGCCAUUGGAGGGCAAGUCUGGUGCCAGCAGCCGCGGUAAUUCCAGCUCCAAUAGCGUAUAUUAAAUUUGUUGCAGUUAAAAAGCUCGUAGUUGGAUCUCAGGUGUGAGUCGGCGGUACAGUCUAUUCAAUGGCUGUAACUGUUCGCAUCUCCACCUUCAAUCAUACAGCUGUUGAUGCUUUGCAGUGGUCUUCAUUGACUGUUGUAGAGUGCACAGCACGUUUACUUUGAAAAAAUUAGAGUGCUCAAAGCAGGCCGUUUGUGCUUGAAUAGUCUUGCAUGGAAUAAUGGAAGAGGACUUCGGUUCUAUUUUGUUGGUUUUCGGUUCCGAAGUAAUGAUUAAAAGAGACAGACGUGGGCAUUUGUAUGGUGGUGUUAGAGGUGAAAUUCUUGGAUCGCCGCCAGACAAACUACAGCGAAAGCAUUUGCCAAGGAUGCCUUCAUUAAUCAAGAACGAAAGUCAGAGGUUCGAAGACGAUCAGAUACCGUCCUAGUUCUGACCAUAAACUUUACCGACUAACAAUCAGGGGUGGUUAGAUUAUUAUUGACCCUCCUGGCUGUCCCUGGGAAACCUGAAGUAUAGGUUCUGGGGGGAAUAUGGUCACAAGGCUGAAACUUAAAGGAAUUGACGGAAGGGCACCACCAGGAGUGGAGCCUGCGGCUUAAUUUGACUCAACACGGGGAAACUCACCCGGCCCGGACACUGGAAGGAUGGACAGAUUGACAGCUCUUUCUUGAUUCAGUGGGUGGUGGUGCAUGGCCGUUCUUAGUUGGUGGAGUGAUUUGUCUGGUUAAUUCCGAUAACGAACGAGACUCUGUCCUGCUAAAUAGUACACUGAUCCUGGGCUAUGUCAAAAUAGUCUCAGUCAGUGCUGACUUCUUAGAGGGAUACGCGGUAUUUAAACCGCACGAAAUAGAGCAAUAACAGGUCUGUGAUGCCCUUAGAUGUCCGGGGCCGCACGCGCGCUACAAUGACAGUAUCAGAGAGUAUUACCACCUGGCCCGAGACGGGCUGGGAAAUCUUUGAAUUAUUGUCACAUCAGGGAUUGAGACUUGUAAUUAUUUCUCAUGAACGAGGAAUUCCCAGUAGAUGCAAGUCAUCAGCUUGCGUCGAUUACGUCCCUGCCCUUUGUACACACCGCCCGUCGCUACUACCGAUUGAAUGGUUUAGUGAGGUCCUCGGAUCGUGACCUCUGCAGUGAAAGCUGCAUUGGUUGUGAGAAGACGAUCGAACUUGAUCAUUUAGAGGAAGUAAAAGUCGUAACAAGGUUUCCGUAGGUGAACCUGCAGAUGGAU